rnacentral:rRNA from 1 species
AUGGAGCUCUACCCUGGAUACCUUGAAGACCACUUCAACAUCCACAAGCUUAGCGGCACCGGCGGCGCCUCCCCGCCGGAGUACAUGACGUCGGCCGCGGCGACGCAGUACGCGCCGGCGCCCCUCAGGAUGGCCAUGUACGAGCGCGCCCCGCAGCAGCAGCACCACCACCACCACCACCACCAGCAGCAGCAGCAGCAGCAGCCCCAGCUGCAGCCGGCGCUGGGCAUGUGGAGCAGCGAGCCCUACAAGGUGGACAGCGGCGGCCAGGCCACCAGCGGGUCCAGCAUCAUGGAGCCCGACGCCAAGUUCGACCACGCAGGGCUAGACGAUGAUCCGCACAUGGACGAGCUGGAGACGGCGGGGGACGCCGAUCAGGGAGCGAGCAAGCCCAAGGAAAAGGUCAUGAGAAGACUUGCGCAGAACAGAGAAGCUGCCCGGAAAAGUCGCCUAAGAAAGAAGGCCUACAUCCAGCAGCUAGAGUCGAGCCGGAUAAAGCUGGCGCAGCUGGAGCAAGAGCUGCAGCGCACCAGGCAGCAGCAAGGCAUGUACGUUGGGAGCAACCCGGGGGCGAGCCUGCAGCGUCAUCACGGCGGGGGCUCGGCCGGCCACUUCGGGUUCGCGGCCGCGGGGCAGAUGAUGAUGGACCCCGGCGUGGCGGAGUUCGAGAUCGAGUACGGGCACUGGGUGGACGAGCAGAAGCGGCACACGGAGGAGCUGCGGAGCGCGCUGCAGCCGGGGCAGGCCACGUCGGAGCUGGAGCUGGAGGUGAUGGUGCAGACCGGGCUCGCCAACUACGACCGCCUCUUCCGGAUCAAGGGCGCCGCCGCGCAGGCCGACGUCUUCUGCGUCAUGUCCGGGCUCUGGCGGUCCCCCGCCGAGCGCUUCUUCCUCUGGAUCGGCGGCUUCCGGCCCUCCGAGGUCCUCAAGAUCUUGAGCCCGCAGCUGGAGCCGAUGACGGACCCGCAGUCGGUGGCGGUGUACGCGCUGCAGCUGACGUCGGCGCAGGCGGAGGACGCGCUGUCGCAGGGCAUGCAGAAGCUGCAGCAGACGCUGGCCGAGUCCCUCACGGACCCCUUCGCCGCCCCCGACGCCUACAUGGUCGGCGCCGUCGAGAAGCUCAAGGGCCUCGUCGGCUUCGUGCAGCAGGCGGACCAUCUCCGGCUGGAGACGCUGCAGAACAUGCACAGGAUCCUGACGACGCGGCAGGCGGCCAAGGGCCUGCUCGUGCUCGGGGACUACUUCCAGCGCCUCCGCGCGCUCAGCACGCUCUGGGCGGCCCGCCCGCGCGAGUCCGCCAUAAGCUAA